rnacentral:rRNA from 1 species
UACGUAGGCAGCAAGCGUUGUUCGGAGUUACUGGGCGUAAAGGGUGCGUAGGCGGCUUCUUAAGUCUGGUGUGAAAUCUCCCGGCUCAACUGGGAGGGUGCGCCGGAUACUGAGGGGCUAGAGUGUGGGAGAGGAAAGUGGAAUUCCUGGUGUAGCGGUGAAAUGCGUAGAUAUCAGGAGGAACACCGGUGGCGAAGGCGGCAUCCUGGACCGACACUGACGCUGAGGAGCGAAAGCCAGGGGAGCAAACGGG